UUUAUCUGAGAUGGCCAAGUCCCUUGGGUAGGGACUUGGACUAAAAGUCGCUUCCUCCCUAGGAUGCCAUGAUUCCCUCUGUGCUUUGUGCCACAAUGAUGGGGCUUCUCUGUUGUUCGUGAACAGACAACUUCCCACAGGAAACCCAGAGGCCGAAGGCUACCGAGGGAGUCAGCCACCGGCCACUCCUAGAUCCAGCUGAGCUGCCAUCCUUGGGUAGGUAUAAAAAAUGGCUAUUGUUUACCUGGUUGCCGAGGGAACGAGUUGCCCUGAAAAACCAGUAGCCACUGCACAGCUGCUCAUUCUCCCUUCGUGCAGUGAUAGGACGAGCACCUAGUUGGUCAUGGCUGUGAGAAGGCUUUUCAGGGUAAGUGUGGCCAUCUCAGCUGCCAAGAAACUGGCAGCGGGGGAGCAAAUCAACUCUUCUGACUGACAUGUGUCUAUUUCUCUUCUCUUAACAGAACAUCUGGAAAAGGUGUUCGCACCUUUUCUGUUGCCUGAAGAGCAACAUUGAAGACCUUCCUGUGCCUCCUGACAGCACCGAAGAGGCACAGGAACCGGAUGACCAGCAGGGAGAAUGGGAGACACAUCAUGUGUCUGAUGGAGACGUCUCUUCCUUGCCUGGGGUUGUGAUGGGUGGUCCUGCUACCGCCCGGAGUCCCAGGAAGGAAGAUGUCCGGCCAGCUCUCAUUUCCAGGAGAAAUGAGAGGAUGCCGAAGUGGACACCGCGGCUGACUACAAUUUGGGAGACCUGCACUGAGUCGG